rnacentral:tRNA from 1 species
UUUAGCUCAGUGGUUAGAGCAGUCGACUCAUAAUCGAUUGGUCCCCAGUUCAAGUCUGGGAGGGGCCACCA